rnacentral:rRNA from 1 species
CCUACGGGUGGCAGCAGUGAGGAAUCUUCGUCAAUGGGCGCGAGCCUGAACCAGCCACGUAGCGUGAAGGAUGACUGCUCUACGGGUUGUAAACUUCUUUUAAAAAGGAGUAAAGUGAGGCACGUGAGCCUUUUUGUAGGUAUUUUAUGCAUACGGAUCGGCUAACUCCGUGCCAGCAGCCGCGGUAAUACGGAGGAUCCGAGCGUUAUCCGGAUUUAUUGGGUUUAAAGGGAGCGUAGAUGGGUGGUUAAGUCAGUUGUGAAAGUUUGCGGCUCAACCGUAAAAUUGCAAUUGAUACUGGCAGCCUUGAGUACAGUUGAGGUAGGCGGAAUUCGUGGUGUAGCGGUGAAAUGCUUAGAUAUCACGAAGAACUCCGAUUGCGAAGGCAGCCUACUAAACUGCCACUGACACUGAUGCUCGAAAGUGUGGGUAUCAAACAGGAUUAGAUACCCUUGUAGUC